rnacentral:tRNA from 1 species
GCUCGCAUGGCUCAGUGGUAGAGCGCGUCACUCGUAGAUUCAAUCUGGAAAUGAUGAGAUCCCCGGUUCAAUCCCGGGUGUGAGCA